GACGAACGCUGGCGGCGUGCUUAACACAUGCAAGUCGAACGAAGUGGCGAACGGGUGAGUAACGCGUAAUCAACCUGCCCUUCAGAGGGGGACAACAGUUGGAAACGACUGCUAAUACAGCAUACUGAAGGAGGGGAUUGCUUCUGAUUUGCUAGUUGGAGGGGUAACGGCCCACCAAGGCGAUGAUCAGUAGCCGGUCUGAGGUGAUGAACGUCCACACUGGUACUGCGACCCGGCCCCGACUCCUACGGGAGGCAGCAGUGGGGAAUCUUCCGCAAUGGACGGAAGUCUGACGGAGCAACGCCGCGUUAGUGAUGACGGCCUUCGGGUUGUAAAGCUCUGUUAAUCGGGACGCGGUACCGGAAUAGAAAGCCACGGCUAACUACGUGCCAGCAGCCGCGGUAAUUC
rnacentral:rRNA from 1 species